UACGGGGGGGGCAAGCGUUGUUCGGAAUUACUGGGCGUAAAGGGCUCGUAGGCGGCCAACUAAGUCAAAUGUGAAAUCCCUCGGCUUAACCGGGGAACUGCGUCUGAUACUGGAUGGCUUGAGUUUGGGAGAGGGAUGCGGAAUUCCAGGUGUAGCGGUGAAAUGCGUAGAUAUCUGGAGGAACACCGGUGGCGAAGGCGACAUCCUGGACCAACACUGACGCUGAGGAGCGAAAGCCAGGGGAGCAAACGGG
rnacentral:rRNA from 1 species